UGGAUAAUAAUCGGGCAUAAACAUAUUACCGAAGCUAUGGACUUGAAAAAGUGGUAGGGGAGCAUUGUAGUGGCGUAGAAGGUGUGUUGUGAGACAUGCUGGAGUAGCUACAAAAGAAAAUGUAGGCAUAAGUAACGAUAAUGCGGGCGAGAAACCCGCACACCGAAAGACUAAGGUUUCCUCAGCUAUGCUAAUCAGCUGAGGGUUAGUCGGGUCCUAAGGCGAAUCCGAAAGGAGUAGUCGAUGGAUAACAGGUUAAUAUUCCUGUACUUCUUAUAAUUGCGAUGGGGUGACGGAGUAUUGAAAGCACCGCGUACUGACGGAAUAGUACGUUGAAGACUGUAUUUAUAGAACUUAUAGGUAAAUCCGUAAGUUUUGGAGAAGGUUGAUAGUACCAUAAAUCUUCGGAUGAGUGGAUAGUGUGCCUAAAAGCUUCCAAGAAAAACCUCUAAGCUUCAGAUUAUAAGAACCCGUACCGUAAACCGACACAGGUAGUUGGGAUGAGAAUUCUAAGGUGCUCGAGAGAUUCAUGGCUAAGGAACUAGGCAAAAUGGACCCGUAACUUCGGGAGAAGGGUCGCCCUGUAGCAAUACAGGGCCGCAGUGAAAAGGUCCAGGCGACUGUUUAUCAAAAACACAUGGCUUUGCUAAAUUGAAAGAUGAUGUAUAAGGCCUGACACCUGCCCGGUGCCGGAAGGUUAAGGGGGGGAGUUAUCCUUUGGGAGAAGCU
rnacentral:rRNA from 12 species